rnacentral:rRNA from 1 species
CACAGAAGGAGCAAGCAUUAAGCAUAUGGACUAGGCGGACAGCAUGUUAAGGCGUUAUGGUUUAUUAUUAGUAAUUAACUAAAAAAACGGAAGGUAAGGGAAUUUUCAGUGUACCAGUCAAAUGGGCAUAACUUGGAAGGAACGUCAGUAGGCGUAGGCACUUACCUUGUGUAAACUUAAGCCCUCACAUGGAAGCUGGAGUAGCAAACGGG